rnacentral:rRNA from 1 species
GGAUGAAUAUUGGUCAAUGGGCGGGAGCCUGAACCAGCCAAGCCGCGUGAGGGAGGAAGGCCCUAUGGGUCGUAAACCUCUUUUGUCAGGGAACAAAAGCGAGUAUGUAUACUAGUCUGAGUGUACCUGAAGAAAAAAGCAUCGGCUAACUCCGUGCCAGCAGCCGCGGUAAUACGGAGGAUGCGAGCGUUAUCCGGAUUUAUUGGGUUUAAAGGGUGCGUAGCGGCGGUGCAAGUCAGCGGUAAAAGCCCGGGGCUCAACCCCGGCGAGCCGUUGAAACUGCAGUGCUAGAGAAGGCGAGAGGUACGCGGAAUGCGCAGUGUAGCGGUGAAAUGCUUAGAUAUUGCGCAGAACUCCGAUUGCGAAGGCAGCGUACUGGCGCCUGACUGACGCUGAGGCACGAAAGCGUGGGGAUCGAACAGGAUUAGAUACCC